GAUGAACGCUGGCGGCGUGCCUAAUACAUGCAAGUCGAGCGAACAGAUGAGGAGCUUGCUCCUCUGACGUUAGCGGCGGACGGGUGAGUAACACGUGGAUAACCUACCUAUAAGACUGGGAUAACUUCGGGAAACCGGAGCUAAUACCGGAUAAUAUAUUGAACCGCAUGGUUCAAUAGUGAAAGACGGUUUUGCUGUCACUUAUAGAUGGAUCCGCGCCGCAUUAGCUAGUUGGUAAGGUAACGGCUUACCAAGGCAACGAUGCGUAGCCGACCUGAGAGGGUGAUCGGCCACACUGGAACUGAGACACGGUCCAGACUCCUACGGGAGGCAGCAGUAGGGAAUCUUCCGCAAUGGGCGAAAGCUUGACGGAGCAACGCCGCGUGAGUGAUGAAGGUCUUCGGAUCGUAAAACUCUGUUAUUAGGGAAGAACAAAUGUGUAAGUAACUAUACACGUCUUGACGGUACCUAAUCAGAAAGCCACGGCUAACUACGUG
rnacentral:rRNA from 1 species